rnacentral:rRNA from 1 species
AACGCGAAGAACCUUACCUGGGCUUGACAUGUGAGUGACAGGUGUGGAAACACACCCUCCCUUCGGGGCACUUUCACAGGUGGUGCAUGGCUGUCGUCAGCUCGUGUCGUGAGAUGUUGGGUUAAGUCCCGCAACGAGCGCAACCCCCGUCGCAUGUUGCCAGCAUUCAGUUGGGGACUCAUGCGAGACUGCCGGUGACAAACCGGAGGAAGGUGGGGAUGACGUCAAGUCAUCAUGCCCCUUAUGUUCAGGGCUACACACGUGCUACAUUGGCGCGUACAGAGGGUUGCGAUACCGCGAGGUGGAGCGAAUCCCUUAAAGCGCGUCUCGGUUCGGAUUGCAGGCUGAAACUCGCCUGCAUGAAGGCGGAGUUGCUAGUAAUCGCGGAUCAGCAAUGCCGCGGUGAAUACGUUCCCGGGCCUUGUA